UACGUAGGUGGCAAGCGUUGUCCGGAUUUACUGGGCGUAAAGAGCGCGCAGGCGGUCGUUCAAGUCGCGUGUGAAAGCCCCCGGCUCAACUGGGGAGGGUCACGCGAUACUGAUCGACUCGAAGGCAGGAGAGGGUAGUGGAAUUCCCGGUGUAGUGGUGAAAUGCGUAGAUAUCGGGAAGAACACCCAUGGCGAAGGCAGCUCUCUGGGACGGUACUGACGCUGAGACGCGAAAGCGUGGGGAGCGAACAGG
rnacentral:rRNA from 1 species